ensembl:snRNA U1 U1 spliceosomal RNA
AUACUUACCUGGCAGGGGAGAUACAGUGAACAAAGAAGGCGGUUCACCCAGGGCGAGGCUCAGCCUCUUGUGCUGACCCCUGCAAAUUCCCCAAAUGUGGGAAUCUCGACUGCAUAAUUUCUGGUAGUGGGGGACUGCGUUCGCACUCCCCCCUG